rnacentral:ncRNA from 22 species
ACCCUCGGUCCGAAGAGUUACCAGAGGUGGCGCUCCGUCCGCAACGGGCGGAUAGGGCCGAGGGUCGUA